rnacentral:tRNA from 1 species
UGUCCCUGUAGCGCAAUGGAUAGCUCGUUGGGCUUCUAAUCCAAAAGUUGUGGGUUCGAUUCCCACAGGGAUAG